UUGCGGUUGGAGCAGUACGUACGUGUUUGUGUAAGGCGACCGACCGUUGAUGAUGUGCUUGCACUGAUUUCCCAAUGAAGCCCGUGGCGAACUGGUGAGUAACACGUGGGAAAUCCGCCCGGAAGCAGGGGAUAACACUUGGAAACAGGUGCUAAUACCGUAUAACAACAAAAUCCGCAUGGAUUUUGUUUGAAAGGUGGCUUCGGCUAUCACUUCUGGAUGAUCCCGCGGCGUAUUAGUUAGUUGGUGAGGUAAAGGCCCACCAAGACGAUGAUACGGGGCCGACCUGAGAGGGUAAUCCGCCACUUUGGGACUGAGACACGCCCCAAACUCCCACGGGAGGCAGCAGUGGGGAAUCUUCCACAAUGGACGAAAGUCUGAUGGAGCAAUGCCUCAUGAGUGAAUAAGGGUUUCCGCCCUUAAAACUCUGUUGUUAAACAAAAACACUUUUUAGAGUAACGGUUCCAUUUUUUUCAGUAUAUAACCAGAACAACACCGCUUCUAUGUGCCACACCCGCGGUAAUAAGUAAGUGGACAGCGUUCUCCUGUUUUCUUGGGCGUAAAAUCAACUAAAUGUUUCUUAAGGAUGGGAUGCCCCCCUGUGUGCUCAAGGUAAGUGGGCCGCAAAUUGGGGGGGGUAUAUCCUCACAAAAAAGUGAGUCUAAUUUUUAGGGGGGGGGGGGAUAGCGGGGUUAAUUAGUGGGGGUCCCCCCCGGGGGGUUAAGGUAUUGAUUAUUUUUUUAAAGAAAAAAACAGCCCCCUGAGCGGGGGGUGUCCUUA
rnacentral:rRNA from 1 species